AUGCUCUGCCGUUGAGAACGUGAAUAACCCCUAGAUAAGUUACAUUGAUAAGUAACAUCUUUAGUAUAGCUGACAGAGAAACUCCAAUGGUACUGCUGCCACAAUCUAAUCAAGGUAAAAUUGCCUACAUGGAAACAUUGCCCAUGUAUAGGCAUCUCGAUUCCGCUUUCGCAGCCAUUGAGAAUGUAGACAGUGUAUUUGUAGUGAGUGUGUUUUCCUUUAUCUUGUACAGAAACCGCUACUGCUUGGGUUAUGAAUAGACUUACUACAACAAUGGCAAGGAGAAAGAAGAGAUUAACUGAAGACUUGGACAUGUUUGCAAUACACAAUGUUGCUGCUUCUUGUGAAGUGCUUAGAUUUAUAUAUGUUCAAAAAGCUAAAGGGAGAGUAAAGAGUUGUAUGUUUUGAGCAAUAAAAUCUCAAUUCUAAAUAUGCAUAUCAUGAAAAGCCCUAAAAUUAGUAGAAAGAAUGCAUCAUACUUACAUCACAUAAUAUAUGAAUAAUAGAUGUGUUGUGAAAUGUUUAGAUUUUUAUAGGUUGAAAAAGCUAAAAAAGAGAGUAGAGCUGUCCGUUUUGAGUAAUAAAAUCUCAGUUAUAGAUAUGAAAUAUCAUGAAUGAUAUAAAAUUAUUAGAAAGAGAAAUACCCUGUAAUGCAUCAUACUGACAUCACACAAUAUUAUGAACAAGAGAGAUAUAUAUGUUAAUUUUAAAUAAAAUUAAGACAAAAUAUAACGACACUCUACUCCAUUAAAAAUAUAAUUUAGAAAUAUUUUUAAAUUAAUUUAAGAAGUAAAAUACUUGACAUAUAUAGAAUAUGAAAAAGAUAUAAAUGCGUAUCUAGAUUGUACAAUUGCAAUUAGAAAAGCAUUGCUUUUAGCAUACACUUUAGUUAAACUGAGGUUAUUUAAACAAAAGUGUAUGUAUGAGAUGGUAAGCUUAUAAAAUUUCAAAUUUUUAAGUUUUAGAAAUGCAAUUACGCUAAAAUUUUGAGGUAUUAUUUUACUGCUUGUAAAAAUUUUACGAGACACGCUCUAAAUUAAUCACACUAACUCUGAAUACUAGAUUAAAAAAGAAAAACUAAAAUUAUCCAUAAUAUUAUAUAAUAUAUUAAAAAAUAAUGCUCUCUCAUAAUUUAGGUAAAGUUUAAAUCCAAAUCAAAGCAUCUGCAGAAAUUCAAUCCGAUGAAAGAAUUAGAUGAAUACAAUAAAAUCUAUUUAAUAUUAAAAUUCAAUUGGUUUAACUUUUUACUUUGACUCUACAGUUGAUAAUUAUAAAGCGAACCCACAGUUUAAUAUCUAGAUAGGCUUAAAGAUUCAUGAAACAAUAUGUUAAUUCUGAAUUUUACUGUAUGUUUGACUAUAAAACAUAAAAAUCUAAAGUUUUCGGUUAGACACACCCACAGAUUUCUGUCGCAUAAAUAUAUUAGUACCUUUCUGUUAUUAUGUGUGUUUCAUUUCCUGCUUAUUCAUCAAUUACAGUAAAGUGCCUUAAAAUAACAAUUCAAUGGUAAAGUUGGUUAGGUUUUUGGACCCGUUUCUAUAGGGAGAAUUAGUAUGUUUUAUAGGAAAUGUGCUGCCAAACUUUCAGUAGAACUAAUUAAAUAAAAUAGAUAAAAAAUUAAUAGAAUUAUGAUAAAAUAAGUUUAGAAAUUUAAAAGUUAGAAUUAGAUUUUUAGAUAUUUGGUAGUAAACGUUGGUUAAAGGUUAUUAGAAAUAAAUUUAAGAUUAAUUCUAAAAUAUGUUUGUGCAUGGAAUUCUAGGAUUUGUGUGCUCGAAUAAUAGUUCCGAGGAAAUUAGCAAAGAACCCUAGUGAAAGUAUAGUUGGUUGAGUCCUGCAUACCAUAUGAGUGGAUAAACUUAUAACAUUAUAAUUUUAUUUAAUAUAUAUAUAUAUUAUAAUAUUAUAUAUGUAGUCAUAUGCACAAAUUUUAUAUAAUAAAUAUUUUAUUUUCUGAAAUUUUCUUCAAAUAAGGAAAAUUCGAAUUAGGAAGAUGAGAAAUAUUUUCUAUAGCACCUCGGAGUGGAUGAUGGUAUUUUAAAUUAUUAUUAUUAUUAUUAUUAUUAUAAAAGGAUUAUAUUAUGAUUAGAAUAAGCGUACACACUCAUUUAUAUAGUUUAUAUGAUCACACUUUGGAUAUCGGGUGUUAAUCAAAAUAUAUUAUCUUUGAGACAACGCUAAGUAUACAUAUAUUUUUGGAGCAUAUAUGAUGCAAUAAAGACAAGAAUUACAAAUGAUCCUUUAAGCUUUCAAGGAGGUCCAAUGACAAGAUCCAAGUCCAAAAGUAUGCAAGAAGCUUUGUUGGGCUUAAUUAAAGACAUUUGGAGUGUUCAAACACAACAAGGCUCAGUCCAAGAUUUAGGAUUGCAAAAAGGAUCCAAAAUCAUCAAUUUAGUGCAAUAAGUUUGGGCUGAACUCAUAGGUCCAAUAAGAUUCAUUUGAAGCCUUUUUUUUAUUUUCAUUUUAUUAGGUUUUCUCUUAAGUUAUGGUGUGAUUAGUUGUCUUUUAGAGUUACAAAAUAGAUGCACAUAAUUAGUCAUAAUUUGGAGUUACAAAAUUGAUGCACAUAAUUAGUUGUCAUUUGGGAGUUACAAAAAUGAGUGACAUCAAUGUAAAAACAACCACUUUUAAUAAGUUUUAAGGGGAAUUAAAGGGGGAAACGUGGGGAAGCUCAAAAGACAUCCAUUUAGGUUUCUUUGUCUUGUUUUGGCUAUAAAUAUCAAAGCCAAAUUCAUUUGUAGACAUAGAAUUUUGAAUGAUAAUCUUUGUUUGCUCUUUGUGAGUGUUUUUGCUUAAGUUCUUGCAUGAACUUUGAACUUAUCAAACUAAUUUUAGUUUGUGGCGUUCUCUAACCAAAAUCUUGUGUUUGAUUCAUAACUUAUCAAAUCAUACUUGGUUUGUGGCGUUUGGAGUUGAAUUCAAGUGCUAGUUUCAUUGUUGGAACUAGUUUUUCCUAACUUCACUUGAGGAGAUCCUUGGGUUUUGGAAUCAUCUUGAUUGGAGGGUGUUUUCUUGCAUUCCAUAUGUAUCAUAACUCAUUAGUUAUUGGGGUGUGUGGUUGCUAAGAUGAUGAUUUCCUAUCAUUUGGUAUCAGAGCUUGCUUCAAGUUGAGGUUUGCUUAUCUUUGUGUUUUGUGUGUUAUUAAAGUUUCUCAUCUUCUUUAUUUUUUUGUGCCAAAUUCUUCUUGUUUCAAUAUUUUCCUUCUAAGUACUCUUUCUUUUCAAAGUUUACACCUUUGUGCGCAUAAAGAAAACUUCGUUGUCCCUUGCUAAAAAAAAAUUGUGUUGUUCAUAAUUUCUUUUCAGUUGUGUUAUUAUCAUUAAAAAAAAAAAAGAAUCACAAGAUCAAAAAAAAAAAAAAAAGAAAGUUUGGGUAGCAUAGAAAUCAUAUUCUAUUAUUUUAUUCUAUUGCUUUCUUGUGUCUAGCUACUUUAAAUUUGGCCUGACCUAACAACUUAAUCUAGACCAACCUUUUUUUUCUUUCUUCUUUUCACUCCAUUGAAUUGCCAUAAUCUGAUUUGGUUUGUUUAGGUGAUUAGUUCAUCUAAGAACCUAAAGCAAAAGCAAGAGAGGUAAAAGGCAAUAGUGGUGAGACUAGCAUCGAGAAAAGCCAAAACUUUGAGUGAAACACGAGCGGUGUGACAUUUUAAUUGAGAGACACACGCGAGCGAGUGUUUUUUUUUUGUGAGGCUAUACUAACUUGUUUUUUUCAAGUUAUUCGCACAAUGUCAAAAGAACAAGUUUCAAGUAGUGUUGGAGCAUCCAUUGAGCAAACUUUGCAAGCAAUGCAAAAAGAGUUUGAAAGAAUGUAUAGGCGAAUGGAUGAUGUUGCUGAAAGUGUGAGAAGGCAAGGUGAAACUAUUACAAGAAUUCAAAACGAGCCUAGAAGAGAAAGGCAACUAGCCUUUGAACAAGAGGAUUAUGAUGCCGAAGAUGAUUUGGAGGAUGACCAAGCAACCACUUUUGGUGGAGAUGACCAUCCUAGGAGACACAAUAGGAGAUCAAGGCAAGAUGGUGUAGAUCGCAACCUAGGCAGCAUCAAAAUGAAAAUUCCUUCCUUUCAAGGAAAGAAUGAUCCUGAUGUCUACUUGGAAUGGGAGCAAAAGGUGGAGAUGAUCUUCGAAUGCCAUAACUAUUCGGAGGAGAAAAAGGUAAAACUUGCUGCCGUUGAGUUUUGUGAUUACGCUAGUGUUUGGUGGCAUCAAUUGUGUAGGGAAAGGAGACGAAAUGGAGAAAGACCCGUAGGGUCAUGGAUGGAGAUGAAACGCAUCAUGAGGAAGAGGUUCAUUCCUAACUAUUACUAUAGAGAUUUGCAUCAACGAUUGCAAACUCUAAGGCAAGGAACCAUGAGUGUGGAGGAGUACCACAAAGAAAUGGAAAUGGCUAUGAUUAAAGCAAAUAUGGAGGAGGAUAGAGAGGCUACCAUGGCAAGAUUCUUGAAUGGUCUAAACAAGAAUAUUGCUGAUCUUGUGGAGUUGCAACAUUAUGUGGAGCUUGAGGACAUGGUGAAUGUGGCCAUGAAAAUUGAAAGGCAACUCAAGCGAAAAGGUGCAAGUAAGUUUGAUUCUAAGCUUAAUUCGAGUUCUAGUUCUUCUAAUUGGAAAUCGAAUUGGAGUAGAAAGGAUGAUAAAUUUGCUAAGCCUAAAGUGGAUGAGAAUAAGAAUAAAAAUGAAAUAGGCAGCAAAAACAAAGUUGAGAAUCAAGCUAAUCAAUCUAGAAGCUUGAAGUGUUUUAAGUGUCUUGGACAUGGUCAUUAUGCACGUGAUUGCCCUAAUAAGAGGACCAUGAUUGUUAGAGAUGGAGUUGUUGAAUCUGAAAGUGAAAAUGAAAAUGAUGAUGAGAAUGAUGACAUGCCAACUUUAGAGGAUGUUAGUGAUGUUGAGUAUGCUAAAGGGGAUGUGUUAGUAGUACAACGCACACUUAGUUUGCAAUGUAAACACGAUGAACAUGGAGAGCAGCGUGAGAAUUUGUUUCAUACUCAUUGUUUAAUUGCUAAUAAGUUGUGUAACAUGAUUGUUGAUAGUGGAAGUUGUACUAAUGUUGCUAGUACUUUGCUUGUGGAGAAAUUGAAAUUACCAACUACCAAACACCCAAGGCCUUACAAGUUGCAAUGGUUGAAUGAUAGUGGUGUUGUGAAGGUAAAUAAGCAAGUGCUAAUUUCUUUUUCCAUUGGGAGAUAUAAGGAUGAGGUGCUUUGUGAUGUAGUUCCCAUGUAUGCCGGACAUGUUUUAUUGGGAAGACCUUGGCAAUAUGAUAGGCGUGUGAUUUAUGAUGGGUUCAAGAAUCGAUAUUCCUUGACUAUUGAUGGACAAAAGUUCAAUCUUGGACCAUUACCUCCCAAGGCUAUUUUUGAUGAUCAAGUGAGAAUUAAACAACAAUAUGAAGAGCUUGAAUCUUCAUAUGGGGAAUAUCAGGGGAGGGAGCAAGAAAUAGUGAAAAAAGAAAAAGGUGAGGUAAGUGGUAAAAGUGAGUGUAAUGGGAAACACAAGGUGAGAGAAAACAAGGGAGAUGAGAAUGAAAGAAAGAUGAAUGUGUAUGCAAAGCCAAGUGAUGUGAGGAGAACACUAACCUUGAGGCAGCCCUUACUUGUACUCAUGUACAAGGAAGUUUUGAUGAUUUCUAAUGAUCUUAAUAAGGAUUUGCCUUGUGUUGUUCUUGAGCUUUUGCAGGAAUAUGAAGAGCUAUUUCCCGAAGAUGUGCCUAAAGGAUUACCACCAAUUCGAGGAAUUGAACAUCAAAUUGAUUUCAUUCCGGGUGCAAGCAUACCUAAUAGGCCAGCAUAUAGAUGCAACCCCGAGGAGACAAAAGAAAUCCAAAGGCAAGUGAGUGAGCUUAUGGAUAAGGGGUACGUAAGAGAAAGCAUGAGUCCUUGUGCGGUUCCUGUAAUUUUAGUGCCUAAGAAAGAUGGUUCAUGGAGGAUGUGUGUUGAUUGUCGUGCCGUCAACAAAAUAACGGUAAAGUAUCGCCAUCCUAUACCUAGGCUAGAUGACAUGUUGGAUGAAUUGCACGGUGCUUGUGUGUUUUCUAAAGUGGAUUUAAAAUCUGGAUAUCAUCAAAUAAGAAUGCGUGAGGGUGAUGAAUGGAAAACCGCUUUCAAAACAAAACAUGGAUUAUAUGAGUGGUUAGUCAUGCCGUUUGGUUUAACUAAUGCUCCAAGUACUUUUAUGCGAUUGAUGAAUCAUGUUUUGCGCGCUUUCAUUGGAAAGUUUGUAGUGGUUUAUUUUGAUGAUAUUCUUGUGUAUAGCAAAUCUUUAGAUGAGCAUGUAAUACACUUAAAGCUGGUUUUUGAUGUGUAAGGCAAGACGAUUGAUGAUCAUGUUUUGCGCGCUUUCAUUGGAAAGUUUGUAGUGGUUUAUUUUGAUGAUAUUCUUGUGUAUAGCAAAUCUUUAGAUGAGCAUGUAAUACACUUAAAGCUGGUUUUUGAUGUGUUAAGGCAAGAGACAUUAUAUGCUAAUCUUAAGAAAUGCACUUUUUGCAGUAAUGAAAUUGCUUUUCUUGGAUAUAUUGUUAAUGACAAGGGAAUUCAUGUUGAUCAAGAAAAAGUAAAAGUAAUUAGAGAGUGGACAAAACCUACUAGUGUGCAUGAUGUUAGGAGCUUUCAUGGUCUUGCUAGCUUUUAUAGGAGAUUCAUUAAAGAUUUCUCUACAAUUACUGCACCUUUAACUGAAUGCAUUAAAAAGAAUGUGGGUUUCAAGUGGGGAAAAGAACAAGAUGAUGCUUUUAACUUGCUAAAAGAAAAACUUAGUUCAGCACCUUUACUUGCUUUGCCUGACUUUGCUAAAACCUUUGAGGUUGAGUGUGAUGCAAGUGGAAUAGGUAUUGGUGGAGUCUUGAUGCAAGAAGGAAGACCAAUUGCGUUCUUUAGUGAGAAGCUAAGUGGAGCAAGUCUAAACUACCCAACUUAUGACAAAGAGUUUUAUGCUUUGGUAAGAGUUUUAGAGACAUGGCAGCACUAUCUUUGGUAUAAGGAAUUCAUUAUACACACCGACCAUGAGUCUUUGAAAUAUCUCAAAGGACAACAGAAGCUAAGCCGUAGACAUGCUAAAUGGGUGGAAUUUAUUGAAUCCUUUCCAUACAUCAUCAAGUACAAACAAGGUAAAGAGAAUGUUGUUGCCGAUGCUCUAUCUAGAAAGUAUGCUCUAAUUUCUACACUUGAUGCAAAAUUAUUGGGUUUUGAGUUCAUUAAGGAAUUAUAUAAUUCAGACCAUGAUUUUGCUAAUGUAUAUGGGUCAUGUGAGAGAGGGGGGUUUGACAAGUUCUAUAGACAUGAUGGUUUUCUUUUUAAAGAAAAUAAGUUAUGCGUGCCUCAAUCUUCUUUAAGAGAGUUGCUUGUGAGGGAGGCACAUGGUGGGGGUUUGAUGGGGCACUUUGGUGUGAGAAAAACUUUAGAUGUUUUAGAAAAUCAUUUCUUUUGGCCACAAAUGAAAAGAGAUGUUCAAAAAAUAUGUGAGAGAUGCAUCACUUGUAAACAAGCUAAAUCUAAAGUGAUGCCUCAUGGGUUGUAUACUCCACUUCCCAUACCUAAUGAACCUUGGGUAGACAUUUCUAUGGACUUUGUUCUAGGAUUACCUAGGUCAAGGGGAGGGAAAGAUUCUAUUUUUGUUGUUGUUGACAGGUUUAGCAAAAUGGCACAUUUCAUUCCAUGCCACAAGACAGAUGAUGCAACUCAUAUUGCGGGGUUGUUCUUCAAAGAAAUUGUAAGAUUGCAUGGGGUUCCAAGGACAAUUGUCAGUGAUAGAGAUGUCAAGUUCCUUAGCCACUUUUGGAAGACACUUUGGAGCAAGAUGGGAACAAAGCUUCUAUUCUCAACAACUUGUCAUCCACAAACGGAUGGACAAACGGAGGUGGUUAAUAGGACUCUCUCACAACUAUUGAGGGCAAUAAUUCAAAGAAAUUUGAAGAAUUGGGAAGAAUGUUUGCCACAUGUUGAGUUUGCAUACAAUAGGAGUAUUCAUGGUACAACAAAUUGUUCACCUUUUGAGAUUGUAUAUGGGCUCAAUCCAUUAACUCCAAUGGAUUUAUUGCCAUUACCCAUUGAUAAAGCUAAUUUUGAAGGCAAGCAAAAAGCUGAAUUUGUUAAAAGCUUACAUGAGAAUGUGCGUACUCAAAUAGAGAAAAGAAAUCAACAAUAUCAAAAGCAACACAACAAGGGGAGAAAGAAAGUUGUAUUUGAACCGGGUGACUGGGUUUGGGUACAUUUGAGAAAGGAAAGAUUUCCAAGCCAAAGGAAGUCUAAAUUAAUGCCAAGAGGGGAUGGGCCAUUCCAAGUUCUUGAAAGAAUUAAUGACAAUGCCUAUAAGAUAGAUUUGCCAAGUGAGUAUGGCAAUGUGAGUGCUUCUUUUAAUGUUGCUGAUCUUUCUUUAUUUGAUGUAGGUGAUGAAGUUGACAAUGAGGCUGAUUCGAGGACGAAUCCUUACGAGGAGAGAGGGAAUGAUGCAAUAAAGACAAGAAUUACAAAUGAUCCUUUAAGCUUUCAAGGAGGUCCAAUGACAAGAUCCAAGUCCAAAAGUAUGCAAGAAGCUUUGUUGGGCUUAAUUAAAGACAUUUGGAGUGUUCAAACACAACAAGGCUCAGUCCAAGAUUUAGGAUUGCAAAAAGGAUCCAAAAUCAUCAAUUUAGUGCAAUAAGUUUGGGCUGAACUCAUAGGUCCAAUAAGAUUCAUUUGAAGCCUUUUUUUUAUUUUCAUUUUAUUAGGUUUUCUCUUAAGUUAUGGUGUGAUUAGUUGUCUUUUAGAGUUACAAAAUAGAUGCACAUAAUUAGUCAUAAUUUGGAGUUACAAAAUUGAUGCACAUAAUUAGUUGUCAUUUGGGAGUUACAAAAAUGAGUGACAUCAAUGUAAAAACAACCACUUUUAAUAAGUUUUAAGGGGAAUUAAAGGGGGAAACGUGGGGAAGCUCAAAAGACAUCCAUUUAGGUUUCUUUGUCUUGUUUUGGCUAUAAAUAUCAAAGCCAAAUUCAUUUGUAGACAUAGAAUUUUGAAUGAUAAUCUUUGUUUGCUCUUUGUGAGUGUUUUUGCUUAAGUUCUUGCAUGAACUUUGAACUUAUCAAACUAAUUUUAGUUUGUGGCGUUCUCUAACCAAAAUCUUGUGUUUGAUUCAUAACUUAUCAAAUCAUACUUGGUUUGUGGCGUUUGGAGUUGAAUUCAAGUGCUAGUUUCAUUGUUGGAACUAGUUUUUCCUAACUUCACUUGAGGAGAUCCUUGGGUUUUGGAAUCAUCUUGAUUGGAGGGUGUUUUCUUGCAUUCCAUAUGUAUCAUAACUCAUUAGUUAUUGGGGUGUGUGGUUGCUAAGAUGAUGAUUUCCUAUCAAUAUACUAGGUGGUUACCUUUUUGGAGUAUUUUCUAUUCACGUAUGGUAGGGAUUUGCACUUUAGUGCUUCCAGGUCAGACAUCCAUUGCACCCAAAACUGCUAGAGAUCAGUAGAAGACAUUUAUGAGUUUGUACAACUUUUUAUUACACUUCUAAUUAUUGAUAUUAUUGUGGUUGUUAUUAUUAUUACCGUUACUAAUAUUACUGGUAAGGAUAAUAAGUAGUUUAAUUUUACGAUUCCGUCCUCUGACGGUUUAACUAGCGGAUUUGUAUUUGCAUUUUCUUUUAAUUAUUUAGAUUGAUGUAUAACUCAUUGUCUAUUUCUCCUUGUUAUUUUUUUAUCAUCUCACUGAGUUUUUACUUACUCUCUUAUUUUUCUUCACCACUGUUAUGCAGGAUGUUAAGAGUUAUAUCAGAUUAGAAGUCAAAUACUUAGAGCUUCAGGUUGCUAGACUCCCAGAAAAGUGAAGAUAGAAGAUUAGAUAGUUAGGCCCAGUUUGGGCAAUGGCCAUUACAUAAUUUAUUUGUUGAAUAAUAAUAAAACCUGAAAAAUAUUAUUUAUUAUUAUUUAUUUAAAUAUAUAUAUUCAUCUAAUAACUUGGACUAUAAAAUAAGGAUAGUCCUUCCUUUGAUAACAUAACAUAAUUUAAGGCGAUGCGCUUUUCGGCAAUUGUUGUGGUCGGACGAAACGACUAUUAUUGUGAUCAGAAAUUGACGACCAAUUAUAAGCCUUAGUCCAAGUAGAAUUAUUGUUGCCAAAGUAUAUACCGACCUUAGUGAUUUUCCAGUAACACUCUCCGGUUCCACCACACCUCCGUUCAUCAGAAUCUCUAUCAAUAUUAAAAGCUAUGAUGCUCUGCCAUUGAGAACGCGAAUAACCCCUAGAUAAGUUACAUUGAUAAGUAACAUCUUUAGUAUAGCUGACAGAGAAACUCCAAUGGUACUGCUGCCACAAUCUAAUCAAGGUAAAAUUGCCUACAUGGAAACAUUGCCCAUGUAUAGGCAUCUCGAUUCCGCUUUCACAGCCAUUGAGAAUGUAGACAGUGUAUUUGUAGUGAGUGUGUUUUCCUUUGUCUUGUACAGAAACCGCUACUGCUUGGGUUAUGAAUAGACUUACUACAAUAAUGGCAAGGAGAAAGAAGAGAUUAACUGAAGACUUGGACAUGUUUGCAAUACUCAAUGUUG
rnacentral:lncRNA from 1 species